rnacentral:rRNA from 1 species
UUAAGUGACUAAGCGUACAAGGUGGAUGCCUUGGCAAUCAGAGGCGAAGAAGGACGUGCUAAUCUGCGAAAAGCUUGGAUGAGUCGAUAAGAGGCGUUUAAUCCAAGAUAUCCGAAUGGGGAAACCCAGUAGAUGAAGAAUCUACUAUCAACAAGUGAAUUCAUAGCUUGUUGAGGCAAACCGGGAGAACUGAAACAUCUAAGUACCCCGAGGAAAAGAAAUCAACCGAGAUUUCGUCAGUAGCGGCGAGCGAAAGCGAAAGAGCCAGUAAGUGAUAACAGUAUGGUUAGGAGAAUGUGUUGGGAAGCACAAUCAAAGAGGGUGAUAAUCCCGUAUCUAAAAACCAUAUUGUGGUACUAAGCUAACGAGAAGUAGGGCGGGACACGUGAUAUCCUGUUUGAAGAAGGGGGGACCAUCCUCCAAGGCUAAAUACUCCUGAUUGACCGAUAGUGAACCAGUACUGUGAAGGAAAGGCGAAAAGAACCCCGGUGAGGGGAGUGAAAUAGAACCUGAAACCUUGUACGUACAAGCAGUGGGAGCCUGAAAGGGUGACUGCGUACCUUUUGUAUAAUGGGUCAGCGACUUAUAUUUUGUAGCGAGGUUAACCGAAUAGGGGAGCCGAAGGGAAACCGAGUCUUAACUGGGCGACUAGUUGCAAGGUAUAGACCCGAAACCCGGUGAUCUAGCCAUGGGCAGGUUGAAGGUUGGGUAACACUAACUGGAGGACCGAACCGACUAAUGUUGAAAAAUUAGCGGAUGACUUGUGGCUGGGGGUGAAAGGCCAAUCAAACCGGGAGAUAGCUGGUUCUCCCCGAAAUCUAUUUAGGUAGAGCCUUGAGGUGACACCUUUGGGGGUAGAGCACUGUUUCGGCUAGGGGUCCAUCCCGGAUUACCAACCCGAUGCAAACUACGAAUACCAAAGAGUGAUACUCAGGAGACACACGGCGGGUGCUAACGUCCGUCGUGGAGAGGGAAACAACCCAGACCGCCAGCUAAGGUCCCCAAGUCUAUAUUAAGUGGGAAACGAAGUGGGAAGGCUUAGACAGCUAGGAUGUUGGCUUAGAAGCAGCCAUCAUUUAAAGAAAGCGUAAUAGCUCACUAGUCGAGUCGGCCUGCGCGGAAGAUGUAACGGGGCUGAAAUAUAGCACCGAAGCUGCGGCAUCAGGCGUAUCACUAAUACGCCUUACGAUUAACAAGCUAGAAUGGCGCGAAGCGGCAUGAAAGGUUGUUCAAGCAACCCGAAGGUUGAGUCGGGGUAUUUUUGAAGUAAGGAUUAUUAGUGAUACGCCUGUUGGGUAGGGGAGCGUUCUGUAAGCGGAUGAAGGUGAAUCGAGAGGUUUGCUGGACGUAUCAGAAGUGCGAAUGCUGACAUAAGUAACGAUAAAACGGGUGAAAAACCCGUUCGCCGGAAGACCAAGGGUUCCUGUCCAACGUUAAUCGGGGCAGGGUGAGUCGGCCCCUAAGGCGAGGCUGAAAAGCGUAGUCGAUGGGAAACAGGUUAAUAUUCCUGUACUUGGUAAAGCUGCGAUGUGGGGACGGAGUAGGUUAGGUUAUCGCACUGUUGGAUAUGUGCGUUUAAGUUGGUAGGUGGGAAGUUUAGGCAAAUCCGGACUUCUAUUAAACACUGAGAGAUGAUGACGAGGCUCUACGGAGCUGAAGUAACUGAUACCACACUUCCAGGAAAAGCCACUAAGCGACAGGCUUUACUAAACCGUACUGAAAACCGACACAGGUGGUCAGGUAGAGAAUACUCAGGCGCUUGAGAGAACUCGGGUGAAGGAACUAGGCAAAAUAGCACCGUAACUUCGGGAGAAGGUGCGCCGGCGUAGAUUGUAAGGGCUAGCCCCUGAAGGUUGAACCGGUCGAAGAUACCAGCUGGCUGCAACUGUUUAUUAAAAACACAGCACUCUGCAAACACGAAAGUGGAGGUAUAGGGUGUGAUGCCUGCCCGGUGCUGGAAGGUUAAUUGAUGGUGUAAUCGCAAGAGAAGCACCUGAUCGAAGCCCCAGUAAACGGCGGCCGUAACUAUAACGGUCCUAAGGUAGCGAAAUUCCUUGUCGGGUAAGUUCCGACCUGCACGAAUGGCAUAAUGAUGGCCAGGCUGUCUCCACCCGAGACUCAGUGAAAUUGAAAUCGCCGUGAAGAUGCGGUGUACCCGCGGCUAGACGGAAAGACCCCGUGAACCUUUACUAUAGCUUGACACUGAACAUUGAAUUUUGAUGUGUAGGAUAGGUGGGAGACUAAGAAGUAGUCACGCCAGUGAUUAUGGAGUCAUCCUUGAAAUACCACCCUUUAACGUUUGAUGUUCUAACGAAGAUUGCGGAACGCGGUCUCGGACAGUGUCUGGUGGGUAGUUUGACUGGGGCGGUCUCCUCCCAAAGCGUAACGGAGGAGCACGAAGGUUUGCUAAUCACGGUCGGACAUCGUGAGGUUAGUGCAAUGGUAUAAGCAAGCUUAACUGCGAGACAGACAAGUCGAGCAGGUACGAAAGUAGGUCAUAGUGAUCCGGUGGUUCUGAAUGGAAGGGCCAUCGCUCAACGGAUAAAAGGUACUCCGGGGAUAACAGGCUGAUACCGCCCAAGAGUUCAUAUCGACGGCGGUGUUUGGCACCUCGAUGUCGGCUCAUCACAUCCUGGGGCUGAAGUAGGUCCCAAGGGUAUGGCUGUUCGCCAUUUAAAGUGGUACGCGAGCUGGGUUUAGAACGUCGUGAGACAGUUCGGUCCCUAUCUGCCGUGGGCGUAGGAGAAUUGGUUGGGGCUGCUCCUAGUACGAGAGGACCGGAGUGGACGCACCACUGGUGUUCCGGUUGUGUCGCCAGACGCAUUGCCGGGUAGCUAAGUGCGGAAGAGAUAAGUGCUGAAAGCAUCUAAGCACGAAACUUGCCAAGAGAUGAGUUCUCCCUGUCUUUAAGACAGUAAGGGUUGUUUAAGACGAAGACGUAGAUAGGUCUGGUGUGUAAGUGAUGUGAGUCAUUGAGCUAACAGAUACUAAUUGCCCGAGAGGCUUAACU